UACGGGGGGGGGCAAGCGUUGUUCGGAAUUACUGGGCGUAAAGGGCUCGUAGGCGGCCAACUAAGUCAUACGUGAAAUCCCUCGGCUUAACCGGGGAACUGCGUCUGAUACUGGAUGGCUAGAGGUUGGGAGAGGGAUGCGGAAUUCCAGGUGUAGCGGUGAAAUGCGUAGAUAUCUGGAGGAACACCGGUGGCGAAGGCGGCAUCCUGGACCAACACUGACGCUGAGGAGCGAAAGCCAGGGGAGCAAACGGGG
rnacentral:rRNA from 1 species